GAAAAGUUUGCUGCUCCCACCACUCCCUCCUCUACUCCCAAGGCUGAGAAACAAGCACUGAGACUUUCUGGAGCUCAGAAAGGCCCAUGGGCUGGGGCAGGCGAAGCUUCCAGCCUGCCUCAUGGCCACCUGCAACCAGAACCGCCCCAUUCCCCAGCUGGCCAGACUCCCAUCUCCUGGGGGAUCCUCACCUGCCCCCACCCCAUGCUUGCUCCCCAUGGGAUUCUCUGUGGACUCCCCCAUCAUAGUCUUCUGCCCUGGCACCUCUGUGGCCUGCUAAGGGGGAGGCCACCCCACCAGGCAGAGAAGGCACUGGAGAGAGCUGCGAGAGGAGGGAAGAGGGCUAGGCUACCCACCUCCAGGACUCUCUCAUGAAGGCAGAGCCACUGAUGGGAACCAAGCACCUGCCUUGGCUUCUAAGGUCCACGCUGCCUUUAUGAGCUGUAACACUCACCGCGAAGGUCUGCAGCUUCACUCCUGAAGCCAGCGAGACUACGAGCCCACCGGGAGGAACAGACAACUCCAGACGCGCCGCCCUAAGAACUGUAACACUCACCGCGAAGGUCUGCAGCUUCACCCCUAAGCCAGCGAGACCACGAACCCACCAGAAGGAAGAAACUCUGAACACAUCUGAACAUCAGAAGGAACAAACUCUGGACACGCUGUCUUUAAGAACUGUAACACUCACCGCGAGGGUCCGCGGCUUCAUUCUUGAAGUCAGUGAGACCAAGAACCCACCAAUUCCGGACACAGGAGGAUCGCUUGAGCCCAGGAAUUCAA
rnacentral:lncRNA from 1 species